rnacentral:rRNA from 1 species
GGCGUAAAGAGCUCGUAGGUGGUUGGUCACGUCUGCUGUGGAAACGCAACGCUUAACGUUGCGCGUGCAGUGGGUACGGGCUGACUAGAGUGCAGUAGGGGAGUCUGGAAUUCCUGGUGUAGCGGUGAAAUGCGCAGAUAUCAGGAGGAACACCGGUGGCGAAGGCGGGACUCUGGGCUGUAACUGACACUGAGGAGCGAAAGCAUGGGGAGCGAACAGGAUUAGAUACCCUGGUAGUCCAUGCCGUAAACGUUGGGCACUAGGUGUGGGGGACAUUCCACGUUCUCCGCGCCGUAGCUAACGCAUUAAGUGCCCCGCCUGGGGAGUACGGUCGCAAGGCUAAAACUCAAAGGAAUUGACGGGGGCCCGCACAAGCGGCGGAGCAUGCGGAUUAAUUCGAUGCAACGCGAAGAACCUUACCAAGGCUUGACAUACACUGGACCGUUCUGGAAACAGUUCUUCUCUUUGGAGCUGGUGUACAGGUGGUGCAUGGUUGUCGUCAGCUCGUGUCGUGAGAUGUUGGGUUAAGUCCCGCAACGAGCGCAACCCUCGUUCUAUGUUGCCAGCACGUGAUGGUGGGAACUCAUAGGAGACUGCCGGGGUCAACUCGGAGGAAGGUGGGGAUGACGUCAAAUCAUCAUGCCCUUUAUGUCUUGGGCUUCACGCAUGCUACAAUGGCUGGUACAGAGAGAGGCGAACCCGUGAGGGUGAGCGAAUCCCUUAAAGCCAGUCUCAGUUCGGAUCGUAGUCUGCAAUUCGACUACGUGAAGUCGGAGUCGCUAGUAAUCGCAGAUCAGCAACGCUGCGGUGAAUACGUUCCCGGGCCUUGUACACACCGCCCGUCAAGUCACGAAAGUCGGUAACACCCGAAGCCGGUGUCCCAACCCCUUU